GGGAACCGGGAGGGGCUGUGGGGGCUGCCCAGGCGUGGGGGCGACUGGGCAUGGACUCUGGUAAAAGCCGCCUGUUCCAGCCCCGCCGGUGCCCGCGUCCCGUCCCGGGGGUCCCGUCCCGGGGGUCCCGUCCGGGGGUCCCGUCCCAGCCCCGAGGGUCCCGUCCCCUGGGGGUUCCGUCCCAGCUCCGCUGUGCCCGCGUCCGGUCCCGGGGGUCCCGCCCCAGCCCCGGAGGUCCCGCCCCAGCCCCGGAGGUCUCGUUCCGGGGGUACCGUUCCGUCCCGGAGGUCCCGUCCCAGCCCCUCACUCGUUCUCGGUCCCGCUCGGCGGCUCCGCGGCCGCUGAGGCGCCGUCACGUGACGGGCACUGGUGGCCAAUGGCGGCGGCGCCCGCGCCGCUGAGGGCCACCCAAAAUGGCGGCGGCGAUGGCGGCAGUCCCGCCUUCCCUGAGGGCCCCUGACCCGCUGCCCGCUCCGCUCCGAGCCCUCCCCGCAGCCGCGGGGCCCCUCCCGUGUGCUGGGUGAGCCGCCGCGGCUGCCGGAGGGUCUCCCCGCAGGCGGAGGGUUUCCCUUGGGGUACCUCAACAGCGCUUCAGGGGGGAAGCGAGUGCCCACCCCGGGGGCAAUACAGAGCCUUUGCGCCAGAGGCUCAGUGAACAAGGCGCGAUCGAAAGAGCGCUUUCUAAGGAGAGGAAAGUAUCCAGAGAACACCCGAGCAGAGCUCUGGAAACCUGUACGUGGGCUCGGUGCCCUUCCAGGAGUUGGGGACCCAACCUGGGCUGAGGCCGCCCAGGUCCCAAGUAUUUGGAAAGAAGCAGAGGGAUUGGUCUGAGCUCAGGCACGAGCUUAAAUUCUUAGUAAUCACACAUGGUUUGGGUUGGAAGGGACCUUAAAGCCCAUCUCACCCCCUGCCAUGGGCAGGGACACCUUCCACUAUCCCAGGUUGCUCCAAGCCCUGUCCAACCUGGCCUUGGACACUUCCAGGGGCAGGGAGUCCACAGCCUCUCAGGGGGAUCACAGGGAUGUGUCACCUCUCCCUGGCACUUUGUGUUUCAUUAACCAGCUGACAUGCAAUGCCUCUGGAAGAAAUCUUAUGCUGGGAUAAUAAAGAAGCAAACCAGCAUAUUUGAAAUGCUCUCCCAGAACAGCUCCAGUCCCCUUGGAGAGCUGCAGGGAGGAUUGCACUUGCAUUUAUCCCUUCCAUAUCUAAACACUGGCACCCUUAGUGUGACUCUGUUAGCCCGGAAGAAGGGGAAGGCACAGCAGUCUAUGUUCUGUGCUUUACAGAACAUAUUUUGUAGUUAUUUUGUAUAUUUUGUACUUAAAACCUCCGAGGGUCUCAGCCGUGUCAGAGAUCACGGUGCUGUGUAACAACCACUCAGGAAACGCCAUUAAACAGGGAGAAAGGGCCACGCAGCCUCGGCCAUACAAGGGACCUGCUGCCAGGGGCAGGGCUGCUCCAAGUUGAUCCUUUUGCUGAAGGAGAACCAAGACCUGAUGAGGAUGUUCCUGGGCCUCUGCUCUCUGCAGAGGGCAUUGCUGAGAGAGAAGAGAAGGAAACGGAUGACUCGGAAGAGGAGGAGCCUCCACUUCUCCACUUGACCGUGGAUCCCCAGCUCCAGCAAGGCCCUUCCCUACAGAGCCCCACACCCACCAGCCCAGAGGAACCAGGCAGCUCGUCCUCAUCUCACUCCAGGCAGCAGAUCCUCAGUUCCUCAGCCAUUGCUGGGGAUCUUUCCACCUCUCCCUGCUGCUGGGUGGCCCUGGCAACUCCUUUUCUUCCAGUUUUCCUCUAGUUCUCUGCUCCAGAUUUCGGCCAGGCCCAGCGCAGACUGUGAACCCCCCUGCCCUCAACCAGACCCAACACUGCUGUUUAGACCUUUCCCUUAAAUCUCUUCUAAGUUGUUACUUAGAGUUUAGAAUAAGGACUUUACAGAUUGUUUAUUGUAUAGAAUAGAAAUCAAAACUGAAGGUAAUACUUUAUCAAAAAUAAAAAAUAAAAAUUUUACAUUCCAAGUCUAUAAA